GACGAACGCUGGCGGCGUGCUUAACACAUGCAAGUCGAGCGGAGCGGCGAACGGGUGAGUAACGCGUGAGUAACUGCCCCCCCCUCUGGGAUAACAGUUGGAAACGGCUGCUAAUACCGGAUAGUGGGGGAUGACUCGCGUCCUAUCAGCUUGUUGGUGGGGUAUGGGCCUACCAAGGCGACGACGGGUAGCCGGACUGAGAGGGCGACCGGCCACAUUGGGCUGGGAUACGGCCCAAACUCCUACGGGAGGCAGCAGUGGGGAAUAUUGCACAAUGGGGGAAACCCUGAUGCAGCAACGCGCGUGCGGGAUGACGGUCUUCGGAUCGUAAAACUCUGUUAUUAGGGAAGAAGUAACUGUGCACAUCUUGACGGUACCUAAUCAGAAAGCCACGGCUAACUACGUGCCAGCAGCCGCGGUAAUAC
rnacentral:rRNA from 1 species